AAAUCGCUAGCCGCCAAUUUUCACAUUCGAAGCUGCCAUGUUGUCUGCCAUCGAGCCUCCUGCCAUCACUGGAGAUGGUGAAAUGAAUGAAAUACGGGAAUUAUCUGUAAACAAGGUUAAAAAACCCCACUGUCAACGGAGUGUUUAUCUGUGAAAAAAAUAUCAACGGCUGAACUGAGGACGAAUCUGAGUGAACGAAUCGAGUGUUGACAUCCCCUGCACCAUCUGCAUGAGCACGUUUUUGAAAAAUAGGUCUGCCCUGUGUUACACAGACCUGAAGAAAACCAUGAAAAAAGCUGUCACCUUACUGAUUAAAUGAAUGGUGCAACUGGCAACCAAAAAAGAAUGAUGGCAUAAUUUGUUUAACAUUAUGGAGAGGAACAUAUACACAACAGUGCUGAAUUCCAAUGUGGAUAUUGUUGUGAUAUUCUGAUAGCUGUUUUUGUGAUUGUUUAUGUGUGAAAUCAGAACUCAAAAAAAGGACAUUUGGAAUGCCUAGGACGAAUGCCUUGAUAAAUCGUAAUACAGCAAGUGGUUGUGCAGGACUUGUAAACAAUAUGGUUUGAGCUUUGCUUACGGUAAACAGUGAACUUUUGUCCAUAUCCGUCUGUGCGCGUUGUGUCAAUCCGUCUGUGCGCGUUGUGUCAAUCAAACUGCAAUACAUUUUAUUCUGCAGCACCAAAUUGUCACUGAUUGGCUGAGUACUUUUAGUCAAGUUUCAUCAUGAUUUGUUCAUCAUAUUUGUGUUUAUUGUAUUUAUAAAAUGUGUUAAAUUUAAAGAUUAUUAAUUUUAACUGGUGUCCUUUAUAAGCAUGUUGAAAUUCCAGUUUCAGGUCUCUAAUAUUAUACAUUAUAUUUUUAAUUCAAUACUUAUUUCGUGCAUGUUACAUUGAAUAAAAUAAUUUUUUUACUUCUUUAAUAUUGUGUAAUCACAAACUUUUUUUUAUUUUUUAUUUUUGAAAAGUCCAAAUUUAAUGUAAUGCAAAAUGUUAGUCUUGUUGUAACCUUUUUGCAUCUUUAAAAAAAUAAAACUGUAGUGGCAAUG
rnacentral:sRNA from 1 species